rnacentral:rRNA from 1 species
GAUGAACGCUGGCGGCGUGCCUAAUACAUGCAAGUCGAGCGAACAGACGAGGAGCUUGCUCCUCUGACGUUAGCGGCGGACGGGAGAGUAACACGUGGAUAACCUACCUAUAAGACUGGGAUAACUUCGGGAAACCGGAGCUAAUACCGGAUAAUAUAUUGAACCGCAUGGUUCAAUAGUGAAAGACGGUUUUGCUGUCACUUAUAGAUGGAUCCGCGCCGCAGUAGCUAGUUGGUAAGGUAACGGCUUACCAAGGCGACGAUGCGUAGCCGACCUGAGAGGGUGAUCGGCCACACUGGAACUGAGACACGGUCCAGACUCCUACGGGAGGCAGCAGUAGGGAAUCUUCCGCAAUGGGCGAAAGCCUGACGGAGCAACGCCGCGUGAGUGAUGAAGGUCUUCGGAUCGUAAAACUCUGUUAUUAGGGAAGAACAAAUGUGUAAGUAACUAUGCACGUCUGGACGGUACCUAAUCAGAAAGCCACGGCUAACUACGU